ACUUCCCUCCCUACCUCUCGACAGUGCGCUCCGAUAUGCUGUGACGGUGAUAUGCACGUUUAUUUUUUUCGCACAUCAAAAGUAAAUUUUUGUGUUUCCGGAUCGAGUCUCCUUCAACAUGCCACGAGUUCACAAGAGGAAGAUCAAUCGAGAGCUUGUUUCAGCUUCAUUGAUGCUGCGUGCGGCGAGGGAAGUUAAAAUUUAUGCCAAGUCCAUAAGGUCUGUUGCGAAGGAUUUUGGAAUUAAUUACCGUACUAUAACUAGAUAUUGUAAAAAGUUCACUUCUGAAGAGAUCAACAAUACAGCCAUUUCAAGACCAUCCACAAAAAUAGGCUACCAAAGGAAUUGGCAAAUAUUUAUUGAUGAACAAAAAGAAGAACUGGAAAAAUACUUACUUCUGGCUUCAAGUGUCUACUUCGGGUUGUCUCCGAAGGAGGUACGUACUAGCAUGGCUCGAUCUGCGAGCUUUAACCCACAAAAGCUUUUUUGAUAAUUUAGAAUCGGUAAUUAAACGGUCCAAUCUUCAACCACAAGACAUAUGGAACAUGGACAAAACUGGGGUAACUACGGUGCAAAACCGGCCAAAGUUGUUGUUAGUAAAGGAUUUAAGCAAGUUGGUGCUAUUACUUCGGCUGAAAGAGGCACACUUAGCUGCUGUUGUUUCGGCGGUUGGCAAUUCAGUUCCACCAUUCUUUGUUUUUCCUCGGGUUCAUUUUAAAUACUAUUUCAUACGAGAUGGACCAAUUGGCUGCAAAGGUGGUAGCAAUCCCUCAGGUUGGAUGACAGAAGAGUUAUUUGUUGCUUUUUUGAAACAUUUUCAUAACCAGGUAAAGUCAACUAAGGAAAAUCCAUGCCUCUUGCUUUUAGACAACCACAGCUCUUAUAUAUCCAUCGAAGGACUAAACUUUGCAAAAGAAGAUGGCAUAGUUAUGCUAUCUUUUCCACCGCACUGUACUCAUCGCCUUCAACCCUUGGAUAGGUCGGUUUAUGGGCCCCUAAGGCUCAGGCUUUCCCAUUGGUAGUUUCACCAUCCAAUAUUGUCACAGGGUAUAAAGCCUGCGGGGUUUGUCCAUUUAACAGACAUAUUUCAAGACCACGAUUCUAUGCCAUCAUUCGUCAAUGAUAGAUCACUAGUAACGGUUCCUGAUGAUGAAAUUGUACCUAAUGAUGCCGUUCAACAAAACAAUAAUUCUGCACUUAAUCGUCUUUCAACGCCUGAAGCUGAAGAUCAUAACUUUGGGACCAAUGAACCUUUCACUGGCUCAAAACGAUAACCCUUAUAUUAGUGCUCCUGCAAUUACACCUGAAAAGAUUGUCUGCUCACUGCCACAAGCAGAAUCAAAUUCCAAUGGAACAAAUGGCAAUUCCUGGACCAAGUAGUUCUUCAAGAACGUCUCUAAUUAUAUCACCGCAAGCCUUGAAACCCCUACCAAUUCACCUCCACGUAAGUUACAGCGAGCAGACAAACGAAAAGGAAAAUCAGCAAUUCUAACUGAUACACGGGAAGACUUACUUAGAAGAGAGAAAGAAGGAACAAGAUGCAAAGAAAAAAAAGUAUCUAUACGUGUGUUAAGUGAGAAGAAAGAAAAGAAAAAGAUAAAGGAAAUAAAAAGAAGAAA